rnacentral:rRNA from 1 species
UUAUCGAAUAUCGAAGGGGACUGUCGCUGGCUUCGGAGCGAUCUGGAGCAUGUGCACGUCUCUUUUCUUACACACACUCGUGCACACUUUGUAGGCCCUCGAGAGAGGGACUACGUUUUUCCACAUCACAUCCUUACGGGUAUGUAACAAUGUAUGGCGAGAAGGUAUCUAGGCUGUCGCUCGACUCCGGUCGGGCCAUGGUCGAACAAAUAUUACAACUUUCAGCAACGGAUCUCUUGGCUCUCGCAUCGAGGAAGAACGCAGCGAAUUGCGAUAAGUAAUGUGAAUUGCAGAUUUUCAGUGAAUCAUCGAAUCUUUGAACGCACCUUGCGCUCCUUGGUAUUCCGAGGAGCAUGCCUGUUUGAGUGUCAUUUAACUCUCAACCGUGUCUCGAUUGAUUUCGAAGCCAUGGCUUGGACUUUGGGGGUUUGCUGGCCUUUCUCUAGGUCAGCUCUCCUGAAACGCAUUAGCGAUCUGGCGAGCAUGGUCUGGAGUGCACGGCCUUUCGACGUGAUAAUGAUCGUCG